ACAGGGAUUGCCUUAGUAACGGCGAGUGAAGCGGCAACAGCUCAAAUUUGAAAUCUGGCUCCUUCGGGCCCGAGUUGUAAUUUGCAGAGGAUGCUUUUGGCGACGUGCCUUCCGAGUUCCCUGGAACGGGACGCCAUAGAGGGUGAGAGCCCCGUACGGUCUGGUGCCGAGCCUCUGUAAAGCUCCUUCGACGAGUCGAGUAGUUUGGGAAUGCUGCUCUAAAUGGGAGGUAAACUCCUUCUAAAGCUAAAUACCGGCCAGAGACCGAUAGCGCACAAGUAGAGUGAUCGAAAGAUGAAAAGCACUUUGAAAAGAGAGUUAAAAAGCACGUGAAAUUGUUGAAAGGGAAGCGCUUGUGGCCAGACUUGUGCCCGGCAGCUUAUCCGUCCCUCCGGGGCGGUGCACUCUGCCGGGCUCAGGCCAGCAUCAGUUUCCGGUCGGGGAGAAAUGCGGUGGGAACGUGGCUCUUCGGAGUGUUAUAGCCCGCCGUUAUGCCCUUCCGGGGACUGAGGUUCGCGCAUCUUUGCAUGGAUGCUGGCGUAAUGGCCACCAGCGACCCGUCUUGAAACACGGACCAAGGAGUCAUCCUAAUAUGCGAGUGUUUGGGUGUUAAACCCCUGACGCGAAAUGAAAGUGAACGGAGGUGAGAGCUUCGGCGCAUCAUCGACCGAUCCUGAUGUUCUCGGAUGGAUUUGAGUAAGAGCAUAUUGGGCUGGACCCGAAAGAAGGUGAACUAUGCUUGGAUAGGGUAAAGCCAGAGGAAACUCUGGUGGAGGCUCGCAGCGGUUCUGACGUGCAAAUCGAUCGUCAAAUCUGAGCAUGGGGGCGAAAGACUAAUCGAACCUUUUAGUAGCUGGUUUCCGCCGAAGUUUCCCUCAGGAUAGCAGUGCUGAUUUCUCAGUUUUAUGAGGUAAAGCGAAUGAUUAGGGACUCGGGGGCGCUUAUUAGCCUUCAUCCAUUCUCAAACUUUAAAUAUGUAAGAAGCCCUUGUUACUUUAGUGAACGUGGGCAU
rnacentral:rRNA from 1 species